AGCUUCCCUCUGUGAAGGCAGAGUUGUUGUUGUUGUUCUAAAUGAGUCUUUGUAUCCCCAGAACCCAGCACAGUUCCGGCUAUGCCCCAAGAAGCUCGGAGCAAUCUUUUGGAGGGACUGGAUUCAUUCAGAAGCAAAGUGGCCAAAGUUGGUUUCAGCUCAGGCAUAAUCACCCUAACCAGCUGCGUAACCGGACACGGCAUGUGAAAUGUGACAUUUGGUUCUGGUUUUCAUCAUGGGAAACGGCUGGCUUUCUCGGGGCGGAUCAACAGGGUGAACGUUUACAAGGAGCUGGUGAAUUGGAUUUCAUGGACGGUUCAAGCAUGUCAUUACCCUACAAAACCCCAAAUCCACAUUGAUCACAAUAGCCACUGAUAAGCCAAAUGGAGACGGACCACAAGACUCUUCCCGGUUCCAUCUCGACUCUCUUUUCGAAACUUUUAUUAUCCAACACAGUCUUUGAAUGGACAAUGGUCUCACGGCGAAUGGACUGUUUGGGAACCAUUUCUGGCCAACCGGCAGCUUUUGUUCAAAGACUGAGAGGUCUAUGCAGUUACCUCCCCAAAAGACCACCCAGAGAUCCUGUCUCUUUCUUGUCAAUGAGGUAGCCAAAGAGCCCUAGAAUAUUGGGGAAGUUGAUGGUUCACUAAACAGAGUUCUAGGCCUGGAAUCAAGAAACUUGAGUUCCAAUUCUGCCUUACUUGCCCAGGGACACAUUACUGGCUAUGACCUUAGUCUCAGCUUUGCAUGCUUUCUUGUCACUUAGAUUGGAUCUUGCAGUUAGGAAGUGACAAGUCACCAGAUUUUCAAGGACAGCCGACGAAUAUUUCUUCUUCUGGGUUUUCUCUUCUGAUAAGGCUCUUCUCUUAUAAUCCCAGUGACGGCACUCCUUCUGGGUCUCUCUGGUUGGACAGAUUCAGCCUCGGUCUUAUGGACACCAGGAGUCACCAGGGACCAAAGGGUCUACACCAAUACUUGAUACACAGCAGAGACUUGAUGAUUGGACCAGUGUUUGUUGGAAUGGAUUGCACUGAAUGGUUGUGCUGCCUCAUCUUCCAGACUGCUGUGAGGAUUAUCUACCUAGAGACGGGUGGACAAAAGAACUCAAGCUUGAAUCAUACAGGACCACUCAUCAAUGAUUAA
rnacentral:lncRNA from 1 species